CCGUGCGCUAGCUACCAUGCAGUCGAGCGGAGAAAGGACAUGCUCCUGAUGCGCGGACGAGGGUAACUAUGCUACGAUCUGCUGCGAUGGGGGAGGCGUUUCAAAAGGAAUGCUAUACCGCAACGUAUUACGGGAAGGAUGGGACGUCUUGCCUUGCGCUAUCGGAUGAGCCUAGGUCGAAUUAGUAAUUGGUGAGGUAAGGGCUCACGGAGCAACGAUCCCUAUCUGGUCGGAGACGAUGACACUCCACUGGAACUGAGACACGGUCAAGACUCCUACGGGAGGCAGCGGUGGGGAAUAUUGUGACAAUGGGCGAGAGCCUGAUCCUGCCGUGCCGCGUGUGUGAGGAAGGUCAUCGGAUUGUAGGGCACUUUAAAUUGGGAGGAAGGGUUGUACAUGCCUACUCUGCCGUUUUGACGUUAGCGGCUAACUAAGCACCGGCUUACUCUGUGUCAGCAGCCGCGGUGAUGAUAAGGGUGCAGGGGUUGAUCUCAAUUACUGGGCGUGAGGCGCUGCGUAUGUGGUUUGUUAAUUUGGAUGUGAGAUCACGGGGCUCGACCUGGGAAUGUGCAUCGGAAACUGGCAAGCUAUAGUAAGGUAGAGGGUGGUGGAAGUUCCUGUGUAGGUGUAGAUAUGNAUACAUAUGUGAAGGAGCAUGAGUGGCAAAGGCGACUACAUGGACUGAUACUGACACUGAGGUGGGAAAGCGGGGGGAGCAAACAGGAUUAGAUACCCUGGUAGUCCACCCCGUAAAAGAUGUCAAAUAGCCGUUGGGAGCCUUGAGCUCUUAGUGGGGCAGUUAACGCAUUAAUUUCACCCCCCGGGGAGUNACGGCCGCAAGAUUAAAACUCAAAAGAAUUGACGGGGGCCCCCACACGCGGUGGAGCAUNGUGGUUUAAUUUGAGGCAACGCGAGGAACCCUACCCGGNCCUUGACAUCCAAUGNAACUUUCCGGAGAGGGAUUGGUCCCUUUGGGAACACUGAGACAGGUGUGGCACGGCGGUGUUCAGAUCGUGUCUUGAGAGGUUGGGUUAAUGUCCCCUAACGAGCGCACCCCCUUUCCCUAGUUACCCCCACGUAAUGGUGGGCACUCUAAGGGGACUGCCGGUGACAAACCGGGGGAAGGUGGGGAUGACGUCAAGUCCUCCUGGCCCUUACGGCGUGGGGUACCCCCCUGGUUCAAUGGUCGGUACCAAGGGUCGCCGAGCCGGGAGGUGGGGCUAAUCCCAUAAAACCCAUCCUAGUCCGGAUCGCAGUCUGCAACUCGAUUGCGUGAAGUCGGAAUCGCUAGUAAUCGCGAAUCAGCAAUGUCGCGGUGAAUACGUUCCCGGGCCUUGUACACACCGCCCGUCACACCAUGGGAGUGGGUUGCACCAGAAGUAGUUAGUUUAACGUUCGGGAGGACGCGUACCUAGCGGUUGUCCCCGU
rnacentral:rRNA from 1 species